CAGUAGCCGCGGUAAUACGAAGGGUGCAAGCGUUAAUCGGAAUUACUGGGCGUAAAGCGUGCGCAGGCGGUUAUAUAAGACAGAUGUGAAAUCCCCGGGCUCAACCUGGGACCUGCAUUUGUGACUGUAUAGCUAGAGUACGGUAGAGGGGAUGGAAUUCCGCGUGUAGCAGUGAAAUGCGUAGAUAUGCGGAAGAACACCGAUGGCGAAGGCAAUCCCCUGGACCUGUACUGACGCUCAUGCACGAAAGCGUGGGGAGCAAACAGGAUUAGAUACCCGUGUAGUCCCUGUCUCUUAUACA
rnacentral:rRNA from 1 species